AACUCAAUAAAGACAAAAAGAAAUGGAACAAGCUACUUUAGGGAUAACAGCAUAAUUCUUCCCUAUAGGCCUUAUAGAAGGAAGAGACUUUUGACCUCGCAUGUUGAA
rnacentral:rRNA from 1 species